rnacentral:lncRNA from 1 species
CAAAUGCAUACACUGAACUCCAAAGCUUUCAUUUUAUGAAAAAAAGUAUGUAUGUUACUCACCUCUGUUGGCCCUCAAUCCCCUCAGCUUUAGCAAAAAGUAAAGAGUCAGUUAAUUAAUUCUUUAAUGGAAAAUUAAUUCUCAUUCUGAUACGAAAAAGAAAAGGAAAAUGAUAUUCUGGUAUUUCAAGGACAAGACAGAACCAGAUAUACUGGCCACUAGUCAUUCCCUGAAGACACCAUUGCUGUAGACUUUGAACUCUGAAAUGCCCUUUCAUCUUUGCUCUUCCCUAUUUAACAUAUUCAUGUAUUCCUCCAGUAAUUAUUUGCACCGUAUCAGAUAAAUUUGGAGUUUUUAAUGAUCUCAACAAGCAGAGUAUUUCUCAUGGUGUUAAUU